UUGUAUGUGGCAUUGCCUGCUCCUCGUUUCUUUAGAAGCAGAAAUACAUCCAUAACAUGCUGUAUUUUGUGGGAGAAUUCUUGGGCCACACCC